CAGUGUACUCCAAAAAUAUCUGAAGAUCUUUUUAUCCCUGCUGGCUGCACUAGCGUGUAGAAAUGAAGAUAAGGUUGUAGUGAAUAGUUGAAGGUCCUAUAGGUCUCACUCCCCACUAAAAUAUCUAAUUUGGACUGCAUGGGGGGCAGUGGGCAGUAGAAAUCUUAUCUAUUUUGUCUACUACCUACAGAUUUGGACAAAGUGAUAUUUAUGUGUGGGAGCUGAGCCAACGAGGUGUAGUGCUUGUAUGCCACGUUUUUGAACCUUUGGUGUGCUAGCACUCUAGGAAUCCUCCUUCAUCAAGCGUGGAUGAGCUCCACUGCACCUGCCCCUAUAUUUAGUACCUUGGGCUGCCGUAUUGAGUGAAGAUUUCUUCCUUGCCCUCAAAUUCUAGCCAAAGUUCACUGCUUGAGUGUGCAGUCCUUAUGUACUGCUGGUAUAACCCCCUCCCUAGCCCAGGUUUGCCCCCUUCUCCCCAUGGACUGGAUGCGCUCAGUGACCCCUCCCCCUGCCUAUUUAUUCAGUGUGUUCCACGACUGAGUUCAGAAAAGCUUUUCUCCCUUGUUCUCGAGCUGUAGUCCCAGUCCACUACAAAGGUGUUGGAGUCCUGGUAUUCUUGCUGGUGUGCAUCCUCUCUUUCAGCCACCAAGUUUGUUUUACUCUAGAGCUGAAUGCCAACCUCUUGCCUGUGGUGACCAAACCCAACCGUUUCUCACCUCCCCGUGGAUAAGGUUUCCCACAAGUAUUCUUGGCCGUGUACUACUUGUUCCAUGCUCGGCAAAGAACUCCUACUAGAAGGAGUGAAUAUUCAAGCUGAAGUGGUGACUGAAGAGGAAUCUACUCCAGUGGCUGCUGAUCAAGUGGAGGAGCCAUCUAACUGAGGUUUAAUAGAGGGAUAGAGUACCUCUUCACUGCAAUAAGGCAAGCCCCGGUGCAUUUACCCCUUUUCUUGUAUUUUUAAAAGACUUUUAUACACUUUAAGUCUAGUGAAAUGUGCAUUAAGUUAUAGGAGUUGCUUGAAAACUAUUUGAUGCAUUGACUACCUUGAUAUCCAUUCCUGUUAUAGAUACUUCUUUGGAAGUAUCAAAUAUUGUUUACAAAAAUGCUUAGCCAUGCUUAGAUCUUGUGGAUAGAAGUUGUCUUUUGCAAUAAUGCCUAGCUCAGGGGUUGUCCUGAGGAAGGAUCGCUUCUACCUGCAAGAAUAUUUUCAUUGGGAGCAUGGUGGGAUCUUACUGCAAAGUUCCCUGUAAUGCUCUUCUCAUCCUAAGGAACACAAAACAAUCCUAAGGAUGGAAGUACUUAAAUCGAGACUUGGGCUAGGAACAGGUGAUGCUCCACCCAGGUCAAUUAAGGAUUGGAUGCGUAUGUAGGCCUGUAUGAUCAAGGACUAUCUUAACUGGCCACAUGCCUUGGAUAUGGGACAGGGUAAGCUUGAACCCGGCUAUUCCAUACGUGAAAAGACAACCGCGCACUGGGCGUGGGAGAUGGUGGGAGUAGCGUGUACCCUCCUGGCUGGAGGCUGGAUGGAGGAGUACUGUGCUCCCGGGUAGCGCGGACCGGUUCACGUUGUGGAGGAUCUGUGGGAAUGGUUGACAUAUGCAAGGGUUAAGUGCUACAUAUGUCGUGUGGUUAGAGAUCCUCAGCUGAGCAAAUCGAUUCGGAUCGCCGUUAUAUCCCCGGAGAGUGGAGACUUGAUCGCUGCCCUGCAACCUAAGUCAGGAUGUGAACAUUAUGAAUAAAAAUGAUGUUGUAUUGAUGAGAUGGUGAAAUUAGACUAGAUGCAACCAGAGUCUAUUAAUAUUUAAUCUGGCGUUAAAAUGUUGAAAGUAAGGACUCACUUUAGUAAGCUAUUUCUGCAAAAGUAUCUAAGUUGAUUCUUGCUAAAGCCUUUUCCUUGAUUCCUAUUUAACCAGCAUAUCAUUGAGAGUCAUUUUUCCUUAGUCGGGUAAGACUUGCGAAAGUACACUCCGUACUCAGGGUUUUCGAACCCAUGUUGUUGUAGGUGAUGAGGAGUACUCUAGGUGUUCCUGAGGCUGGAGGGCGUUUCCAGUUCUGGAGGAAGAUUAGUUAGGCUUAUGUAUAAGCUUUGGAGGGUUUCUACCUUCCUGCUUUUGUAAUAAGGUAUGCACUUUGAGUAUAUCAGGACUUGUAAUAAAUAUUACUCUUUCGAAACAUGUAAAACUUGAGUUUUGAAAAGGUAAAGAAUGUUUA